AGUUGAAAUCAGUUCUUUGCUCAAGCAUAUUUAUCCUCGUAAACGCUUAAGCGUGCAAUAUUGUACUGUCCUCUUCAAUUAUAAUAUUCUAUUCAAUACAAAACAUAUGAGAAAACUGAAUAGAGAAAAAUAUUAAAAAAUUAAUUGUUCGAUGUCCUACCUUUCGGCUUACCUUCGAGGUGCGAGUUCUGAGCAUUGUGCGACGAUGUCGACGAUGGAUCCGCGGAUGGUCUGAAAGGAGAAAAUUCGGGUCUGCAGCAACGGGAAUAGAAAUGAUGGUCGUAAUGGCGUACGAACGAAUGCGUUGUGUGCGUUGCGAUGGCGAUGCGAAGACGACGAUUCGAAGCGACAUGUUGAAGCGUAAUGAAAGAUGAAAUCAAACAAAACAACAUUAGCUGACCGGAAUUCGAUGUUGAUGAUGGAGCCUUAUGCUGCCUGUUUGGCCUUGGCGGGGCCUCUGGGCCCUGUGACACACCAAGCUCGUUGAGUUGAGCGGCCAGCAUGUCCAAGUCCUACCACCCACACACACACACGCACAACCCCGUUAGUCACUGUUCCGAAACACCUCCAACAAUUGUUUAAAAGCCGCCACCAAUUAGCCAGGCGAAGCAGAUGCAGAGGUACAAUAUAUAUAUAUACGAACUAUUUCUAUUCCUUUUGAUUAUGUUUUGAGAUCAAAAUUAUUAAAAAAUUGCUUCAUUUUUUUGUAUAAUUUUUUGUAUAUGAUGGAUUAACAAAUGGACAGACAUAUAUAGACAAUUAUUACAUAAAAUAUAUUUUCCAAUGCAGUUAGAUAACAACAUAAACCAAAAGGACACUGACAAACACAUUUAUUUCCCUGUUAAAUAAUAAAUAUGUUACGUUUUUAUUACAUUAAAAUGUGAUGAGUGAAAUUUUAGGUUAUUUAAAAUAUUAUUUCUGAAUUAACUUAUACGUAUCUUGGUAUACAAUAUGUGUCGUGUUUUAUACAUUUAAUGCAAACAUGUAUUGCGUUUAAUGCAUUUAAAGCAGUACAUAAUCGAUUUUCUUGGAAGCAUACAUUCAGGUAAUUUGUCUGAAGCAUUCAAAAAUGUUGUAUUAUUUUUAAAUAUAAUAGGAACUAAACACGAUAGGAAUAAAUAAUACACAUUUAAUAAAGAUGAAAUUUAGAAAUCAUUUGAUUGUUUCUGUAUAAAAAUAAACCAAGCAAAUUAUUUAGUAAUACCAAAAAGAGUAUAUCACAGCCGCGUGUAACUUGUUUUAUAAAAUUGCACGUAUGGAUAAUUAAAAAUGUUACGCGUAGGGAGAAGAAUACAUGUCACUGUAUUAUGUAUAAAUGUAAAAAAAUGAGAAUGUAAAGAGAAAAAUAAGUGUAUGUGUUUCUUACCUCUGGUUUCCUUGGAGGCAGCUACGGUACGUGUGAACAUGGAAAAAAAACAAAAACCGAAUAAUUUCAAAUCUACGUGCAAGAUGCGCGGAUAUGUAUUUCUGUAUGUAUAUAUGUAUGUGUGUGCACGCGUGUCACGUUUAUAAAUGCAAUUAAUUAUACGCACGCUAGGAAAUAAUUAUGCAAUUAUAUUUGCAUACACGCCAGCGACUCAAUAGCAAAAUAGAAGAAAACUCUGCGUGCUACUGAUAAAAAUAUGUAUUUGUUUAUAAAAAUGUAGCAAAAGAAAAAUAUAAAAAUAUAUAUUUAUAUAUACAGUGUGUUUGAUUUAAAUAGCAAUAAUUAAAUAUCUCAAAAAAUACAAAUACAAUGCCUUUCACAUCUUUUGAGAAAUUUAACAAUUGCCAUUUAAACCAAAUACGCUAUAUGUAUAUUGCAAAAUAUAUACAAAAUACACUAAGUUAAUGAGAGGCAGCAAGAAGGCAAAGUAGGGUAAAAACAGCAUGUGCUUGUCUACAAUCUUUAUAAAUUAGAUUGAAUCAUUCAAUGUUAGAAUCUGCUAUUAUGACUAAUCUUAAUAAUAGCAUUAGUAAAUAUCUGAAAAAAAGAUAUUUCUUAAAAGAAUAAUUGUCAUAAACAAUUCUAACGAUAAAUGAUUCAUUUUAUAUAUUUUAUUGGCAUAAAAUAAGUGCGAAAGAAGAAGUUGCAAUACGGAAAUAAAGAGAAAUAAAAAACAAUAAAAACUUACCAUAGGCUUAAAAACAUGACUGUUUCUUUGUGAUGCUGAUUGUCCACCAGAUCCUCCACUACCACCUCCACCAAUAAGAGGUUGAUGAUUGGAGGGUGGUGUCGAAACUUUAUGAGGUUGUCGUGGAUCAUCUCUAGGUGUUGGAGGUAAUGGUCGAGACGGUGGUUGUGGAUCUGGAACUACUAUACAGCACAAAAUAAUUAUGUAACAUUUAAGAAAUCCGAUUCGUUGUUAGAACAACGAUCAACAGCAAUUUCAUAUAUAAAAUGUAUUUUUAGACUAAAAAUAAUUGAUUAAUGAUAUACUAUCAAACGCACCGAUUAAUCUGUGUGGAAUGGCAGGUCGUGCAGGUGGUCCUGGUUCUGGUAUAUCUCUUUGAGCUCUGCUACUGGGUUUUUCUUUACCAGCAGGUGGUUGAGGAUUUACUUCUUGAGUUAAAGUUCUACCUUCCUGAAUUUGCUGGAAAUUUCUACGCAAUGUAUCACCACCAGGUGCUUGAACAAUGGAUGAUGCUUCACCAGCCAAUGCUGGUUCAUCUUCUUCAUUCUCACUACCACUAUACCGAUAAUCAUCUCUUUCUAUAUAACAAAAUAUAAAUAAAGAAGCAUCAUUAAAAA